rnacentral:rRNA from 1 species
UGUAUCCUACGGGAGGCAGCAGUGAGGAAUAUUGGUCAAUGGUCGGGAGACUGAACCAGCCAAGCCGCGUGAGGGAUGAAGGCACAGAGUAUCGUAAACCUCUUUUGUCAGGGAACAAAGGCGGGGACGUGUCCCCGGAUGAGCGUACCUGAAGAAAAAGCAUCGGCUAACUCCGUGCCAGCAGCCGCGGUAAUACGGAGGAUGCGAGCGUUAUCCGGAUUUAUUGGGGUUAAAGGGUGCGCAGGCGGUCUGUUAAGUCAGCGGUCAAAGCCCGGGGCUCAACCCCGGCCC